rnacentral:tRNA from 1 species
CCGGGUGUGGCUCAGUGGUAGAGUGUGUGCUUAGCAUGCACGAGGCUCUGGGUUCUAUCCUCAGCCCUGAA